UAGGUGCAGGGGUCCCGUAGCCAAGUCCUCUCUUAUUGCUACUAUGGUGUUCAUGUAGCCAUUAAAGUGAAUCAGAGGACCUAUUCCAUUUACAAGUUAUGUCUAGCUCGUGCUUAACCUUGUUUAAGUAUUCCUUAAAGACUCCUAUCUGCUCAUCUCUUUUGUACAACUCAUCUUUCAUUUUUCCUAAAUUUUCUUCUAAAGUGAGUUGUGUGUGAUCAGCUUUCUUUCUAUGAGUUCCUAAUUUCAAUUUAAAUUUUCAGAUCUAAGCUCUACGACAGUGGUGUCAAGUUCAUGAACCUGGUUCUUUAACUCAGCAUUUUUACUAUCUCUUUCACU
rnacentral:lncRNA from 1 species